rnacentral:rRNA from 1 species
UACGUAGGGCGCAAGCGUUAUCCGGAAUUAUUGGGCGUAAAGAGCUUGUAGGCGGUUUGUCGCGUCUGCCGUGAAAAUUCGAGGCUCAACCUCGAACUUGCGGUGGGUACGGGCAGACUAGAGUGUGGUAGGGGAGACUGGAAUUCCUGGUGUAGCGGUGAAAUGCGCAGAUAUCAGGAGGAACACCGAUGGCGAAGGCAGGUCUCUGGGCCGAUACUGACGCUGAGGAGCGAAAGCGUGGGGAGCGAACAGG